rnacentral:rRNA from 1 species
ACUCCUACGGGAGGCAGCAGUGGGGAAUUUUGGACAAUGGGGGCAACCCUGAUCCAGCAAUGCCGCGUGUGUGAAGAAGGCCUUCGGGUUGUAAAGCACUUUUGUCCGGAAAGAAAACUCUCGUCCUAAUACGAUGGGGGGAUGACGGUACCG